CGAACCAAGUAGAAGCUCCCGCUUCUCACCUGUAGCGACGCAACAAGCAGUUGGCAGGUUAAUCAUGUUACACAAUUAAUGUGUGAAGAAGAGCGGGUAGUGAUACUCGCUCUUCUUUUUUGCU
rfam:Streptomyces sp. WAC00263 NODE_4_length_72737_cov_125.925873, whole genome shotgun sequence.